rnacentral:rRNA from 1 species
CAGCUCUCCGAGUAGUGUGGACGUUUAUUGGGCCUAAAGCAUCCGUAGCUUGCUAGAUAAGUCCUCUGUUAAAUCCACCGAUUCAAUCGUUGGAUUGCGGGGGAUACUGUUUGGCUAGGGGACGGGAGAGGUCGACGGUAUUUCCGGGGUAGGGGUGAAAUCCUAUAAUCCCGGGAGGACCACCAGUGGCGAAGGCUGUCGACUAGAACGCGCCCGACGGUGAGGGACGAAAGCCAGGGGAGCGAUCCGGAUUAGAGACCCGAGUAGUCC